rnacentral:rRNA from 1 species
UACGUAGGGGGGCAAGCGUUGUCCGGAAUUAUUGGGCGUAAAGAGCGUGUAGGCGGUCCGGUAAGUCAGCUGUGAAAGUCAAGGGCUCAACCCUUGAAUGCCGGUUGAUACUGUCGGGCUAGAGUCCGGAAGAGGCGAGUGGAAUUCCCGGUGUAGCGGUGAAAUGCGCAGAUAUCAGGAGGAACACCAAUAGCGAAGGCAGCUCGCUGGGACGUUACUGACACUGAGGCGCGAAAGCGUGGGGAGCGAACAGG